AUUGAACGCUGGCGGCAUGCCUAACACAUGCAAGUCGAGCGGAUGAAGGGAGCUUGCUCCUGGAUUCAGCGGCGGACGGGUGUGUAAUGCCGAGGAAUCUGCCUGGUAGUGGGGGAUAACGUCCGGAGACGGGCGCUAAUACCGCAUACGUCCUGAGGGAGAAAGGGGGGGAGCUUCGGACCUCACGCUAUCAGAUGAGCCUAGGUCGGAUUAGGUAGUUGGUGGGGUAAAGUCCUACCAAGGCCACGAUCCGUAACUGGUAUGAGAGGAUGAUCAGUCACACUGGAACUGAGACACGGUCCAGACUCCUACGGGAGGCAGCAGUGGGGAAUAUUGGACAAUGGGCGCAAGCCUGAUCCAGCAAUGCCGCGUGUGUGAAGAAGGUCUUCGGAUUGUAAAGCACUUUAAGUUGGGAGGAAGGGCAGUAAGUUAAUACCUUGCUGUAUUGACGUUACCAAAAGAAUAAGCACCGGCUAACUUCGUG
rnacentral:rRNA from 1 species